AACGAACGCUGGCGGCGUGCCUAACACAUGCAAGUCGAGCGAGAAAGCCCGCAAGGGUGAGUAAAGCGGCGCACGGGUGAGUAACACGUGGGUAAUCUGCCCUGGAGUCCGGAAUAACUCGCCGAAAGGCGUGCUAAUGCCGGAUAAGACCACGGGAGCCUCGGCUCCUGUGAGAAAAGGUGGCCUCUGUACACAAGCUAUCGCCCCAGGAUGAGCCCGCGUCCCAUCAGCUAGUUGGCGGGGUAACGGCCCACCAAGGCUACGACGGGUAGCUGGUCUGAGAGGACGAUCAGCCACACUGGAACUGAGACACGGUCCAGACUCCUACGGGAGGCAG
rnacentral:rRNA from 1 species